UGGCUAACCAGUUUGGUACAUUCAAUGAGCUAUCAUAUGUAGGCAAUGUAGGGCUUUGUGGGCAUCCUUUGCCAACUAAUUGCUCAUCAUAUAUACCUGGAAAUGGAGAACAUGACAGAAAACGUGAAGAUGGUGUUGAUGGAGAUGAUGACAGUGAAAGAUUGGGAUUAUAUGCAAGCAUAGCUGCCGGGUAUAUCACUGGCUUUUGGAUUGUGUGUGGCAGCUUGGUGUUAAAGAGGUCUUGGAGACAUGCAUAUUUCAAUUUUGUAUGUAACAUGAGAGAUAAACUUCUGGUUUUGAUGGCAGUUAAUUUAGCACGUCUAAAGCGCGGGUUUGGAUUUGAAAGGAACUGAUGCCAUAGUAUAUUUCAUCAUAUUUAGUGUGCCUAGUGCGUUUCUGUUGUUUAAACUUUGCAGUCGAUCAUUAUUAUUAUAUUUUGCAUGUGUGAAUUGUUUAAUUUCAUGUGUGGUAUAUGUGGAUGGACUGGUGACUCUAGGGUGAAUGUUUACAAGUUAUAUUUUUAUAUUUUUCAUAAGCUUGCUCCCAUAAAUCUGUCAAGUUUGUACCAUAACACCUCUCAAAUCAUGACCAUUGGCUAUAGUCACUUUAAAAGUUUCCACUAUAUCUAUUAAUAACAAGUAUUUCAAGAAAUUAUCUAUAUAAUUUCCAGAAUUUGUAAUUUUGUAUAGAUAAGUUAGGUUCUAUUCUAUCUAUAGCUGAUCCUAAUUUAUAAUUUGAUUUUGAAGAGGAUUAUCUUCUAGCUACUUUGAAUUGGCAACAAUAAUAAUAAGUGAAUGAAAUCAGAAUUACUUACUUACCCCUUGUCCUUGUGUUGUUUCACUGCUACUUCUCAGAAAGUGAGGCGCAAUCUUCAAAAACGAAAUUUCUGUGUCCCCAAACUCAUCAAUUCGUUAUCUCUCUCUCCACCGGAAGUUCAUUCUCAAUUGCUGCCCCUGUUCUGUUCUUCACUGUUGCAUAUCUCCACCCAAAUUUCAGCU
rnacentral:lncRNA from 1 species